AGUCUAGUAGCGCAACGGAUAGCGCGCGCGUUGGACUUCUAAUCCGAAGGUCGUAGGUUUGAAUUCUGCCUGGGAUUG